AAUUUCAAAUGGAGUUUUGGACCACUUUGAAUUCACCUAGAAAAGCAUGAAAAAUUAGGUAGAUACUCCAUGCUUUCACCAUAUAGGUGGCAAAAGAGCCAAAGAAAAGACUACUAUAUUGAUAUGCGAUACCAGUUGGAUGUAUUCCAAAGCCAGUAAUCAUAGGGCCCUAAAGUAUUUUCUGAAUUACCUUCUCACAAACAUUCCUGACCUUGGGCACCCUUACAUUAAAAAUGAAAGCAGAGAUUUGUUAUUCA